UUCGGGAUGUGGAAAGUGGCGCACGGGUGAGUAACGCGUGGGAACCUACCCUUUAGUACGGAACAACAGUUGGAAACGACUGCUAAUACCGUAUAAUCCCUCCGGGGCAAAGAUUUAUCGCUGAAGGAUGGGCCCGCGUAAGAUUAGCUAGUUGGUGGGGUAAUGGCCUACCAAGGCGACGAUCUUUAACUGGUCUGAGAGGAUGACCAGUCACACUGGGACUGAGACACGGCCCAGACUCC
rnacentral:rRNA from 1 species